rnacentral:rRNA from 1 species
GAUGAACGCUGGCGGCGUGCCUAAUACAUGCAAGUCGAGCGAACAGACGAGGAGCUUGCUCCUCUGACGUUAGCGGCGGACGGGUGAGUAACACGUGGAUAACCUACCUAUAAGACUGGGAUAACUUCGGGAAACCGGAGCUAAUACCGGAUAAUAUAUUGAACCGCAUGGUUCAAUAGUGAAAGACGGUUUUGCUGUCACUUAUAGAUGGAUCCGCGCCGCAUUAGCUAGUUGGUAAGGUAACGGCUUACCAAGGCACCGAUGCGUAGCCGACCUGAGAGGUGAACGGCCACACUGGAACCGAGAAAACGGUCAAACCCCCAAGGGAGGCAGGAGUAGGGAAUCUUCCCGAAUGGGCGGAAGCCUUACCGAGCAACCGCGGGGGAGGUAAUAAGGGCUUCCGGUUGGAAAAACCUUUUAUUUGGGAAGAAAAAAAGGUGAAGUAACCUAGGACGGUCUGACGGUACCCAAAUAAAAAGCCACGGCUAACUACGUG